rnacentral:rRNA from 1 species
UACGUAGGCAGCGAGCGUUGUUCGGAGUUACUGGGCGUAAAGGGUGUGUAGGCGGUUGUUUAAGUUUGGUGUGAAAUCUCCCGGCUCAACUGGGAGGGUGCGCCGAAUACUGAAUGACUUGGAGUGCGGGAGAGGAGAGUGGAAUUCCUGGUGUAGCGGUGAAAUGCGCAGAUAUCAGGAGGAACACCUGCGGUGUAGACGGCUUUCUGGACCAUUGCUGACGCUGAGACACGAAAGCGUGGGUAGCAAACAGG